UGGUGCCGAAUAGCGGUACUAUAUUUAUCGCCAUAUUUGUGAUGGCGACCGAUAUUUAUAGAUCGUAAGGGUGUUGUUAUUCAAUAAAUAAAUGCAUUAAAAAUGGAGGAGACGAAAGUUAUUUAUUACAUAGACGAUGAAGAAACGCCGUACCUAGUGAAAAUACCUAUCUCACCGGAGAAAGUGACUUUGUUGGACUUCAAAAACCAGUUGAACCGACCGAACUAUAAGUUUUUCUUUAAAUCCAUGGACGAUGAUUUCGGUGUUGUUAAAGAGGAAAUUGUUGACGAUAACGCUCAUUUACCGUGUUUUAACGGUCGUGUAGUGUCGUGGCUAGUAUCUGCAGAGGGCUCGAACCCUUCGGACGGAGCUUCACAGUGUACUGAUAGCAAUGCAGGGAAAGGCAAACAAACUCACGGGGCUCCGGCGCCCGUCACCCGGGACACCUGCACGGACACAGACAGCACCAUCAGCUCCCGCCCCGGCCACAGAGCAUCCUGCGACAAGUAUAAAUACCGUGGGUUACGGAUAAACGGCCACUCAAAAUACGGUAACCAUGGGUUGGAAUACGAGACAGCUUCCGUGCUAAGUUCUGACUUAGACUCCACAAGUUUGUUCGACAGCCAGUCGGAAAUCACCACGACGACUGGGAGGCACACUAACGCCUCCGUAGACCGAGCCCUGACUGAAUGCAGCAGUGUUUCCCACCUGCAAGUGAGUUCUCGUAAAAGGCCACAGAGAAGACGAAAGAGACCUCAAGUCAUGUCCAGAACCUCUUCCUAUUCUUCUAUAACUGACUCUACGAUGUCUAUGCAUAUUAUAACGGUGACUCUGAACAUGGAUACUGUGAAUUUCCUGGGUAUAUCUAUAGUUGGCCAGUCAAAUAAGGGCGGAGAUGGAGGAAUAUAUGUUGGGAGUAUUAUGAAAGGAGGUGCCGUGGCCCUGGAUGGGAGGAUAGAGCCCGGAGACAUGAUAUUACAGGUGAACGACGUGAACUUCGAAGACAUGACGAAUGAUGAGGCGGUGCGCGUGCUCCGCGAGGUGGUGCAGAAGCCGGGGCCCAUCAAGCUGGUGGUCGCCAAGUGCUGGGACCCCAACCCUAAGGGGUACUUCACUAUUCCUAGGACGGAGCCUGUGAGGCCUAUUGAUCCAGGCGCGUGGGUAGCUCACACCCAAGCCCUACGCGAGGCGUACCCGCCGCCGCCCCCAUCGCUCUCCGCCCUCCCUGUCUCCUCAGUAUCGGAGCGCGGGGCUUCGGACGCGUCGACGCUGCCGGCGGGAGCGUUGGAGCCCCAGCUCUCUGUCAACAUGGACAUGGCUAUCGUAGUUAGGGCUAUGCUGAGGCCUGAGUCGGGCCUAGAAAUCCGCGACCGCAUGUGGCUCAAAAUCACAAUACCGAACGCGUUCAUCGGCGCCGACGUGGUGGACUGGAUCCUGCAGCACGUCGCCGGCAUCGCGGACCGACGCGACGCCAGGAAGUACGCCUCGCACAUGCUCAAGGCGGGCUUCAUCCGUCACACGGUGAACAAGAUAACGUUCUCGGAGCAGUGCUACUACGUGGCGGGCGAGCUGUGUGCGCAGCUGGCGGCGCUGCGCCUGCGCGGGACCGACGCCGACAGUGUGCUCAGUGACACGCUCGCGCCGCUGCCUAACCCCAACAUAAUGGGUCCCGGCUACAUGCCGUACGCAGGCUCGUACGGCUACCAGCCGAUACCCUUCAAGUACUCCUCCUGCGUCAACAGCGAACACACUGUAUAUGGCUACAACCGCGAGGAGAGCGUGGUGUCGGGCAGCGGGGGCUCCAGCGGCGGCUCCGAGCGCCUCACGGCCAAGGAGCGGGAGCCCGAGCGCAAGUCCACCUCCUCCUCCUCCUCCGCCGCGCCCGAGCCCGUGCCCGAGCCGGACCGGCCCGUGCUCUUCCUAUAACGGUGUGUAUCUACUGUAGCAGCGCCAGUCCACCUCCUCCUCCUCCUCCGCCGCGCCCGAGCCCGUGCCCGAGCCGGACCGGCCCGUGCUCUUCCUAUAACGGUGUGUAUCUACUGUAGCAGCGCCAGUCCACCUCCUCCUCCUCCUCCGCCGCGCCCGAGCCCGUGCCCGAGCCGGACCGGCCCGUGCUCUUCCUAUAACGGUGUGUAUCUACUGUAGCAGCGCCAGUCCACCUCCUCCUCCUCCUCCGCCGCGCCCGAGCCCGUGCCCGAGCCGGACCGGCCCGUGCUCUUCCUAUAACGGUGUGUAUCUACUGUAGCAGCGCCAGUCCACCUCCUCCUCCUCCUCCGCCGCGCCCGAGCCCGUGCCCGAGCCGGACCGGCCCGUGCUCUUCCUAUAACGGUGUGUAUCUACUGUAGCAGCGCCAGUCCACCUCCUCCUCCUCCUCCGCCGCGCCCGAGCCCGUGCCCGAGCCGGACCGGCCCGUGCUCUUCCUAUAACGGUGUGUAUCUACUGUAGCAGCGCCAGUCCACCUCCUCCUCCUCCUCCGCCGCGCCCGAGCCCGUGCCCGAGCCGGACCGGCCCGUGCUCUUCCUAUAACGGAGCGUAUUUUGAGGUGUGCCCUCUGAAAACUGCCAAAAAUCGUGACGUAUAUAAUAUAUUAUAUUAUUCGAUACGUCUUAGAGGAUGCGGCUGACUUCUGACGCAGCUGGGUAAAGAAGGUAUUUAAAACGGUACUAUAGGCAUUUUUGAUUAAUUUAUUGUUGAAUAAAAUUAAUAUUUUGAUAAAAUAUGACGGUUUUUGUGUAUAGAAAUAUGUAUGCAAAUGUGUUAUUUUCAGAUUUUUAAACUUGUAUUGCAAGUUUUUAAUUAUUAACCGACUUCUCAAAAAGAAGGUUGUCAAUUUUUAUUUAUAAAAUCGGUAAAUUGUCUGAAUCAAUAAUAAUUUCACUAGUAUCAAAAAAAAAAUAUGAAUAAAUUGUAUACAUAUUUUUAUACACAAUUACUGAAAUAUAUCCGCCAUAACUGCACAAUUGUUUCAAAAACGACUUCCAUUUUUGAAGUCUGGAAGUCGAUGUUUAAAACCACUAAAUUAUACUACUACAAUGCAAUAGUGUUAACAAUAUGAAGUCAUUGUCGAAAAACGACUUCAAAUUUUUUUGAAGUCUGGAAGUCGAUGUCUAAAACCCCUAAAUUAUACUCUAACCUACUGUAAUAGUGUUAACAAUAUGAAGUCGUUGUCGGAAAACGACUUCAAAUUUUUUUGGAAGUCUGGAAGUCGGCGGCCAGUCGCAGCCCACGGUAAAGCUAAUCAUGAUACUAGAUCGCCAUAUAAUUUUAGUCUUAUGUAUAUUAUUAGUUUAAGUGUAAAUAUCUAAUUGUAACACCCUAUAUAUAAACUUAAAAACUAAAAUAAUACACUUUUUAGAGAUAUGAACGUAGGAAAACCACCCUGUAUUUUUUCUAUUUUACCCGAUUGUGGAAUCAAACAGAUGGUUAUGCUUUACUAUAGGUAUUAAUAUUACAAAACUGAAGAGUUUGUUUGAACCCGCUAGAUUCUGAAACUACUAAACCGUUUUGAAAAAUUCUUCCAGUGUUAGAUAGCCUAUUUAUCCAGGAAAGCAUGGCACUUUUUUAUCUAGUAACAUAAAAAAGAGGACACAUCUUUUUAUUUGUAUUAAAGGCUCCAAACUACUGAAACAAUUUGAAAAUUCUUUCACUGUUGAGGCGCUACACUCUUCCCGAGUAACAUAGGCUAUAUUUUAUCCCGGUACGGUCAGUAGUUCCCACGGGACGCGGGUGAAACCGCCGGGAAUCGGUUAGUUUUACAUAUAAAAAAUCGACUAAAUAAUUUCUCAAUAAUAUCAAAAUUGAUAGUUUCAGAGAUCAAUAUUACAUACGUACAAACUGUGAAAAUAUUAAAAUUUCAAAACGACGGCCAUAUUAAUUUAAGUUUUAUUAUGCCUAAGUUCACCUACAACGUAAAUAUCCGAUUUUCUUAUAAUAACUGUUUUUCUUUCAAAAUUGUUGUUUUAAGAAAAAUUACGCUUAUGUCGUAAGUGAAAAUGGGAAUUAAAAUUGCAAAUCCUCGUUCUUAUCUCUAAAAAGUGUAAUAAUAAUUAAAUAAAAAAUGAUAAAACUACGCUAAGUAAUAUAUUAAUAUAGUUGCACCAUUUUAAUAUAACGAUGACCGAACCAUUUUCAGUUGUCACAUCGCCAAUUUGUCGUAAGUACGGCUGGUUAUGGUUUGGUUAUCGUUAUAGUUAAAUAGUGUAACUGGGUUAGUGUCAUUUAUUAUAAACAAAUUGGCACUAAACACACUUUGAUUCUAUUGGUCGAAAAUUGUAUUGUUGACUUUCUAACCCAGUGAGAAUGAUAUAGUCAGACAUAUUUUUUUAAUGUGUUAAGACUAUAUACUCUAUUUGAGUCGGCACUAAAAUAAAGGUAAAAAUCUUGAUAGGAUAUUACACAAACAAACAUCUUUGGCAGUCAUUACGGGUAGUCAGAAGCCAGUAAGUCUGACACCAGUCUAACCAAGGGGUAUUGGGUUGCCUGGGUAACUGGUUUGAGGAGAUCAGAUAGGCAGUCGCUCCUUGUGACACACUGGUACUCAGCUGAAUCCGGUUAGACUGGAAGCCAACCACAACAUAGUUGGGAAAAGGCUCGACAGAUGAUAACAUAUUCAACAAUAUAAACUACUGCUUACAAUAAUGAUACAAUUGAUACAAUUGAAGUAAUUGUUAUUAUUGUAUUUACAUUUAUUUUUUUCAGCAUUUUAUUGUUAAAUAAAAAGGUGUAUUAAGAUUGGUUACCUUUAGUUGAUAGCCUACUCAAAUGGAGUAUACAUAGUAAUUUACAUAAAAAAAUAGUUUUUUUUUACUUUUGACAGCUGUCAAAAUGUCAUUGCAUCUCUGUCUAUUGUACUAUGUGAGAGCGAGAUGGCAAUACAUUGAAUUGACCAAUAGGAUUAGAGUGAAAGUAUGAGAUUUUCGGCCAUAAGCCAACGUUAUAUGUAUGUAUUUAAAUAUGAAAUUAAUUGUGCUUCUAUGGUUGUACUAGAAGGAAUGACGUUUUUUUGUUUAAAUACCUAUUUUAUUGCAAUGUGUAAACUUUUUUUGUUCACGUUCAAACAUAAAUACGUACAAACAAUUCAUAUUCAACCGACUUCCCAAAAAGAGGUUCUUAGUUCGGAUCUUUUUUUUAUGUUACUAAGAAGAGAAGAAACGGUUUUCCCAAAUAUUUUUGAAGUCAGUCAGAAGUAUUACUAACUAUUGAAAAAUCGACUUUAAAACAACAAAAAUAAAUAUUACACAUUGCAGUAGAAUUAUUUUACAAAUAUUGUUUCAAACUGGUUCUUUUAUGACCGUCGCGACUAACAGCCCUUCCCAAUAUUCUGUCUAUCUGUUAUUUUGCAUACAUACAGUGUGCAUAUGUUACUGUAAAAACCCGAACUACGGUAAAUCCUAAAGUUUACCGACAUGAGUUGGUAAAUGUAAGAAUUAAUUAUAAAGUUACGAUUUUUUUCGGACUUCUACCAUUUCAAUUCAAUACAAGCUAGGUUUUUCCUCCACAUCUACAUCCCCAAUACUUUUAUUAAUACAACUUCAAAAUAAAAAUUAUUUAAAUAGUUAGAAUUUUGCGUAAGUUUUUGACUAAUGGUUGGUCAUUGUUUUAUUCCUAAAACCAAUAUUUACCAGUCCACAUUGGUAAAACCUAGCAUGUACUGAAUUAGAACAGAAAUAGUCCGAAAAAAUCCUACCUUUAUCUAUACUAAUAUUAUAAAGCUGAAGAGUUUGUUUGUUUGUUUGAACGCGCUAAUCUCAGGAACUACUAGUGCGAUUUGAAAAAUUCUUUCAGUGUUAGAUAGCCCAUUUAUCUAGGAAGGCUAUAGGCUACUUUUUAUCCGGGUUCGUGCAGAGGUUUCCACGGGAUGCGGGUGAAACCGCUGGCAGAAGCUAGUAAUAAAUACUUAACAUAUACCAACUCAUGUCGGUAAAUCUUAGGUUUUACUGGAAAAGCUUAGGAUUUAUCAUAGUUCGGGUUUUUACAGUAACCCAUAUACACCAACACACAUUUAGUAUGUUCUCACACGCGUUCGUGAAAUCAAGCAUCUAUACUAUAAUAUUAGUUCGCGACGGUCAAACAGUUAAUGUUUGAAUGUGUGUUAAUAUUCAGAGAUUGGUAGAAUAUAUUUACUUUCUGCUGCAAGGAAUUUAUUAUGAAAUCUUGAAUGGAUGAUAAAUAUUAGAAAAGUCCAAUCAAUGUCCGAUUCAAUGUUUUUUUUUGUAUAGUUAUCGGCACGAAUCUUGAGCUCUGACCUUCACCUGCUCAUAAGUAAUUUAUUGUGUCCUUUUUGUGGUAUGAAGUGAGGCGCGGGGGCGGGCUAAAGCGUUGAUUGGCCCGCAGCGCAUCGCGUCAUAGCCGUCACUCGGGAUUGGUUCUUUGCUAAUAAAUUACUUCUGCGCAGAUGAAGGGCUCAAGAUUCGUGCCGAUAAUUAUAAUAAUAUGCAUUCAUCUAAAAAAAUAUGAUUUUAGACAAUGAUUUCAAAUCAUCAUCCUUAGUCUUUCCCCAACUGUUUAGUCUUGUUUUACUCGUAAAAUCGUAUUAAUGAACUACUUGCAGUAAAAGUAAAUAUAUUUUACCAAUUUUUAACUACUGAUUUUUUUCUAAAUACGUACCAUUUUAUUUUUGUAAUAACGAAUAAGAUUUGACCAUGGAGAACAAAAUGACUAGCGGUGAUGUCAUAACGCAAUAUCUCCUAAGAAAAUAGCGCGACAACAUGCGGGGCGAGGGAGACGGGGAACGUUACUAGCGCAGCAUUAUUUACAAAAUGAAUUCACCAAUCAAUCGAAACCAAUCUUUGACAGAUUGGUUUUGAUUCGACAAGGAACCCGAACGCCUCGUUAGUUGUAGUAAGUGAUCCCGGCUACCGCACGUUGCUUGAGCUACAAGAAGGCGCCUGACCUGCCUGCCUUAUGGCAUCUCCGCUAUCUUUCCUUCCUCCGUGGUAGAACAUGUAUUUAGGGGCACAGAAGAAAAAGCAUUUGUAUACGUAGAUACAUUAGGAAUGUAAUAAAAUGAGGGUAAACGCAUACUGUACGUAAUUUAUUUAAAAAAUAACUGAAAAACCAUGUAAUCGAAAGAUUUUAAUAAAUUAUAUAUAAUAUUGUAUGUAUUGAUAACUUAGCUAUUUGUAGCCUUUACGGCCGGAAAUGAAGCUGUUGCGUUCGCUUGCGAUUUUUUUGUCGCUGCGUUUAGUCGCAGUUACAAAUCGCUGUCGCAACGCUUUUUACAGUAUUUAGAAAUGUUUUUUUUUUUAUUGUUGGCAACUAUUUUGUAUUGAAACUAUGUAAUUUUAAUCUCGCUUCUGUCUUUCCUACUAGGAAGUAGGGAGAACAAUUUUGUAUAUUUCAUUAAAUAAUUUAUUUGGACAUAUCAUAUAAAAAAUGUUUAUUGCUAAAAAUUUAGAACAAAAAUGUAUUUUUAACUAUUGAUUUUUUUAAAUCGACAAUGACGUUUUUUGCCCAGACUUACCAAAGCGAAAUGCUUUACCAGCCAAGAGAAAUUUUCCGCUAAUCCUACUAAUAUUAUAAACGCGAAAGUUUGUAUGUAUGGAUGUUUGUUACUCUUUCACGCAAAAACUACUGAAUGGAUUUUAAUGAAACUUUACAAUAAUAUAGCUUAUACAUCAGAAUAACACAUAGGCUACAAUUUGUAAACAUAUUGUUCGAAAUACUAAACCUGCGCAGACGAAGUCGCGGGCACCAGCUAGUAUAUCCUACUGAAUGGGCCGCGGCGCUAGUACACAAACCACCUUGUAAUAAAACGUGGUUUUUAGAAGUACCCGCUUUAGUAAUAGCUAUAGUCCACUGAUUUUGUUUGCGACGGUGGUUUAAAGGUGAUACAAAAGCUGGUACUUUUUUAAGACCACGUUUUAUAAUUAGGUGGAUAGGGCUUAAGAAGGAACAUGGCGGGUUUAGUCAGUAAGAGUCUGACACUCCCGAGCGCUACACACACAGCGGGGGCCGACAUUUGAUGAUUUCCCAUAAAAAGGGAUACUACUGAAUAUUGAAAUAACGAAAUUAUUUAAAUACUUUUUUGGUUGAGUCUGGGCCUAAAACGUCAAAUUACAAAGUUUUUUUAAAUAAAUGUAAACUUGAGCGAACUUUUUGCGAUUCAUAUUAUAAUUUUAGAGUCAUUUUUAUCAGUUUGACAGUCACAAUAUGAACAUAGGUGCGAAAAAUGUCUAAUACUCUGAUUGAAGCAUUUAUUUUGAAGUUUAUAUUGGCAAAAAUAGCAAUGCAAUAAAUUUUACUGUUUUCUACGGUUUCACUCGCAUCAAUUCAACUUUAUGCUGAAAUUAAUUCAUAAUGAUAAGGAUUACCAACAUAAAACUAUAUAAUAUACAAACCUUACUCAGUAAUCCCUCGAUCUAUUGGCGGGAACAGCAUCAAAAUCAGCUUAGCAGUUUGAGGUGAUUGCAAAUAAACACAGACUUUGUAGUUGGCUAUUUCUGUCAAUAUAAAAUAUUAUAUUGAUUAAAUACGUAUUUAAUCGUUUUGGCAGCUUAUUGAACAAAAUGCAGUUAAUAAGAAAAAAGAUACGAGUUUGAUAUCAAAGUUUUCAGAGAUUUUUGAAUUGAAAAUAUUUAUAUAUAAGUACCUACAUAUGCCAAAAUUCUGGAGCACAUUGUUAUAGAUAGACAAUAGCAUAACAUACUUAAUUAAAUAUAUUUAAAAAAUCGACAACUGCAUGCAACAUUUUUAUUUAUUAUUUAAAAAUAUUUUCAAUAAAAAAAUCGCUCAAAAUUAUAGAUUUUCAACUCAGAAAAUACUGCCAAAGGUGUCAGUUUCUAACCGACUUCCCAAAAAGGAGGUUCUCAAUUUGGUUGUUUGUAUGUUUUUAAGUGAAUAUGGUUCAAAAACAUUUAGUUGUGAUAUCGGCAGCCUGAGUUUAUAUUUCUUUACAACUAUUUCGUGUAUAUUAUUAAAAUAUAAUAGCAAUGAUUAUUAUUUUUAUAUUAUUAUUAUUUGGAAGGAGCUAUUUAAUGUUCACAAUGUGUAAUUUGAAUAAAAGAUAGCAUUUUGUAAGUGA